CUAAGGGCGCACGGAGGAUGCCUUGGCGUCAUGGGCCGAUGAAGGGCGUGGCAAGACUGCGAUAAGCUCGGGUUUGUUGUCUCGCAAACUUAGCCCGAGAUACCCGAAUGGGGGAACCCAGCCAGAGUCAUGUCUGGUUACUCAGGAGCGAACACAUAACUCCUGUAGUGGGAACCGGGGGAACUGAAACAUCUUAGUACCCCGAGGAAAAGAGAUUAUUCUCCUAGUAGCGGCGAGCGAACGGGGAAGAGCCCAAACCCCUACUGCCUAACGGUCUGCAUACCUAUGCAGUAGGGGGGUUGUAAGACCCAGUAGUCAGAGUUGCAGAACCUGACAAGAAGUUACAAACCAACGGUGUAGGCGAAGGUCCCUGGAACGGGCCGCCAUAGAGGGUGAGAGACCCGUAGCCGAAAUACAAGUUGGCUUCUCCUGGUGUUCUUGAGUACCGCGGGACACGAGAAAUCCCGCGGGAAUCUGGGGAGACCACUUUCCAAGGCUAAAUACCCAUGAUGACCGAUAGUGAACCAGUACCGUGAGGGAAAGGUGAAAAGCACCCCGGGAGGGGAGUGAAAUAGAUCUGAAACCGUGUGCCUACAAGCAGUCGAAGCCUGGAUCCGUCCGGGUGACGGCGUGCCUAUUGAAGAAUGAGCCGGCGACUUACUCUAUGCAGCAAGGCUAAGCAAGGGAGCUUGCGGAGCCGGAGCGAAAGCGAGUCUUAAUAGGGCGUUUAGUUGCAUGGAGUAGACUCGAAACCUGGUGAGCUACCCAUGGCCAGUGUGAAGCCCCGAUAAUCUCGGGGUGGAGGCGCGAACCGGUUAGAUUUACGAGUCUAUCGGAUGAGCUGUGGGUAGAGGAGAAAUUCCAAUCGAACCAGGAGAUAGCUAGUUCUCCCCGAAAUGCCUUUAGGGGCAGCCUCGGAUGAUGGGCGCUGGAGGUAGGGCUCUGAAUGGGCUAGGGGGCGUAUAGCUUACCAAACCCAAUCAAACCGCGAAUGCCAGUGUUGCUAAUCCGGGAGUGAGACUGCGGGCACUAACGUUCGUAGUCGAAAGGGAAACAGCCCAGACCAUCGGCUAAGGUCCCCAAAUGCAGGCUAAGUGUGCAAGGAUGUAGAGUUGCUAAAACAACCAGGAUGUUGGCUUAGAAGCAGCCACCAUUUAAAGAGUGCGUAAUAGCUCACUGGUCGAGUGGCUCUGCGCCGACAAUUCAACGGGGCUUAAGUCUGCUACCGAAGCCAUGGCUUUGUGACAUUAGUCAUAAGGGGUAGGGGAGCGUUCCGUUCGGCAGUGAAGGUGGAGAUGUGAAUCUCGCUGGAGCGUUCGGAAGUGCGAAUGCCGGUAUGAGUAGCGUAAGACCAACGAGAAAUUGGUCCACCGUAUGCCCAAGGUUUCCUACGGAAGGUUAAUCCGCGUAGGGUUAGUCGGGCCUAAGCUGAGGGCGAAAGCCGUAAGCGAUGGACAGCUGGUUAGUAUUCCAGCACCACUAACGGGGCGUUUUAAGGUAAAGGCGUGACCCAGGAGGGUAGGCGGAUCGCACCCAUUGGACAUGGUGCGUCCUUGGCCCGUAGGCGUCUGGGGAUAGGCAAAUCCGUUCCCAGGUUAAGCGGAGGGGUUGAGGCAAGUGGAGACGUCAGUCAAAGCGAGUCCGUUGAGCCCACACUGGCAAGAAAAGCGUCGUUGCUAGCACCGUUGGUGCCCGUACCGCAAACCGACACUGGUGGGCGGGGGUAAGUACCCUUAGGUGAUCGAGAUAACCCUCGUUAAGGAACUCGGCAAAAUAGCUCCGUAACUUCGGGAUAAGGAGCGCCUCGGCUUGUGAAGGACUUCGCGUCUGGAGCGAACUGAGGCCGCAGAGAGCCGGCCCAGGCGACUGUUUACCAAAAACAUAGGUCUCUGCCAACCCGUAAGGGGAUGUAUAGGGGCUGACGCCUGCCCAGUGCUGGAAGGUUAAGGGGAGAGGUUCACGCCUUGAACCGAAGCCCCAGUGAACGGCGGCCGUAACUAUAACGGUCCUAAGGUAGCGAAAUUCCUUGUCGGGUAAGUUCCGACCCGCACGAAUGGCGUAACGAUCUGGGCGCUGUCUCAACGAGGGACUCGGCGAAAUUGAAGUACCCGUGAAGAUGCGGGUUACCCGCGCCAGGACAAAUAGACCCCGUGGAGCUUUACUGCAACUUGCCACUGAUGGUGGGCCAAAGAUGCGUAGGAUAGGUGGGAGACUUUGAACCGGGACUUUUGGGUUCCGGGGAGUCAACGUUGAAAUACCACUCUUCUUUGAUCUACCUUCUAACCUCUGAUCAAGCAGCGGGACAGUGGCUGGCGGGCAGUUUGACUGGGGCGGCCGCCUCCUAAAAGGUAACGGAGGCGCCCAAAGGUUCCCUCAGGGUGGAUGGAAAUCACCCGUUGCGCGCAUUGGCAUAAGGGAGCUUGACUGCGAGGCCUACAAGCCGAGCAGGGACGAAAGUCGGGCAAAGUGAUCCUACGGUCCCGAGUGGAAGGGCCGUGGCUUAACGGAUAUAAGUUACCCCGGGGAUAACAGGCUUAUCUUGCCCAAGCGUUCACAGCGACGGCAAGGUUUGGCACCUCGAUGUCGGCUCGUCGCAUCCUGGGGCUGGAGCAGGUCCCAAGGGUCCGGCUGUUCGCCGGUUAAAGCGGCACGCGAGCUGGGUUCAGAACGUCGUGAGACAGUUCGGCCUCUAUCCGGCGUGGGCGUAGGAGAUUUGAGAGAGGCUGUCCCUAGUACGAGAGGACCGGGAUGGACGGACCGCUGGUGUAUCGGUUGUUCUGCCAAGGGCACUGCCGAGUAGCCAAGUCCGGUCGGGAUAAGCGCUGAAAGCAUCUAAGUGCGAAGCCCAUCUCAAGAUUAGAUCUCCCAUCCGAAAGGAGUAAGGUCACAGGUAGACCACCUGUUUGAUAGGCAGCAUGUGUAAGGGCAGCAAUGUCUUCAGCUAAGCUGUACUAAUGACCGAGGGCUUGACCU
rnacentral:rRNA from 1 species